AAUUCUAUAUAUGUAUGUGAGCUCUGUGUUGCUCCUGCUUUAUGGGUGAGGAAAGGGCAUGGUGUACAUAUGCUGAACAAAGAAGUUAAUUUUUCCUUGUACUCUUCCUUUGUAGCCUGUCGAGUCUUUUGGUGAGAGGACUUAUAAUCCUUCUCCUAGCAGCACUUCAUGAACUGAAAUCUUUCUCUAGGAAGACGAUGAUGUGCCAGUUCUCAGUAUAUGAGACAUGAGGUCUCACACAUGGAUACACAAAAGGACUGCAUAGUGUGCUGAAGACUGGGGAGAAGAUAGCCUUGUGUGAAAGGUGGAACCUUUUUCUUCUAAUGGCUGCUUCAAGUGUUUCCUCCAUAAAUCUUUUUCCUUGUCUUGAAAGUUUCCUUGAUGUGCUGGGCUGUAAAUCCUUGAAGGAAUUGCAUGGUCUAGGUGGAAGUUGGUUGGCUUUGUCCUUUUUCAUGAGCCAAGACUGAAGAAUUACUGAAAUGUUGCAACUGUCAAUCGGUUUGUUUUCUGCAGUGCCUGCUCAGCACUCGUGACUGAUAUUGAACCUGAGCUGUCCUGUAUCAGAAAAAUAUGGGAAUAUAUGGAGAUGUCCGAUGGAAUGCUGGUCUCUCCACUCACCCUUGGCUCUGUAAUUUCAUUAUCCAGCCAUGGAGGACCUGUGUCCCAACUGGCCCAAGGUGUCUGAAUAUAGAUGAUGUCAGGGGUUUGACUUGGCAGUCUUGCAGUGCUCAAAUCCCUACUUCCACCUUGGCAAAUGCAGGUUUAGAGAAUUUCUGAGAUGUUCUAGUGCAGAGAGGAGAGGACCCUGAAAGUCACAGCUGGAGAGAGGGAGAUCCCAGAGGGGCAUCACCCCUGAAGGACAGUGAUCUCUCCUUUUCACCAGCUGCCAGCACUGCUGAUCCAUGUGGGCUGGGCAGGGCAAUGCUGCCUUCUUCAUGUGAAUCAGAAGAGCGAGGAAAGCUAAUUGCCAGGUAAGGUCAU